UAUUCUGGGUUGCCUUGGCUGUUCUGUUGGCUUAUGCAUGAUGAGUGGGAUCAAGAUGUUUAGCAAGCUUCAAGUUGAUGUCGGAUUCCAUGAGGUGCACUGCAACGGGAUAUUUAUUCAUUCAAUUCCAUAGCGGCACAGGAGAGAUGAGGCGAAGCCAAGAAAAAGUGGAUGUGUGUGUGUGUGUGUUUGUAAGUUAAAGGGCCAAAAUGUAUUUCUUGUCUGGUAGUAUAUAGCAGCUCUACAACACUUUGGUGAACUUAGUUACUGCAAAUUAGGCAAUUACAGUUGCACCUUUUGUAUUUUAUAGCAAACCCAGACUUCUAUUGGAUUCUAUGACUGCCCCUCUUGUAGUAAACGCAAGGCUUCACUGGUACUCCUGUUUAAAGAUUGGUCAAAUAGAAGAGACGACGGUGAUUGUCUGAUUGAGAUAACUAAGUUCUGGUGUCUUGAUCCAUUUGACCAUUCUGCUGCAAAGAUUAUUGAGCUAAAUUGCUAAUAACAAGUGUUAACUGUUGACUGAACCAAAAUUACGUGUGCAAAAGAAACAACGAACCACAAUAAGACUGUCUGCAGUAGAUAAGAUAAAGGAGACGCAGGCACUGUUUACAUAGUAGAGUUUAAAAUAUUACAAUUAUAUGUCUCAUGUUUUACUCUGUUUAUUAUAGAUAGUCUGAGUCCGGCAGCGGGUACCGGAAACGUGUCGUGGAUGCGUAUUAUUCGCGGCGUGUGGCCCUGUGGAUGCAUCCAGCAGGUGAGGCCAUGGACGUGCCUGCUAUAGAAAGAGAGUGCGGUAACAUCCGCAUCCUCUCUCCUCUGUCCAUUCACAUCUUCCCUGUUUUCGUCGGUACAGACAUGCUGACGCGCAGUCCGAAUACGGUAGCUACUGGAUGACGGGCCUCCUAUCCGCGCUCGCUGAUGGGUCCCACUGCAGAACGAGGUGUUUUCCGCGUUGGGGCUGUCUCCACCAAGGGCCCUAAUGCCGACUCCAGCAAGAAUCGCUGCAUGGUUCUGAACCUCAGCUAAAAUAGAGUACGAGCAGCGCAUGCAACGAUACGAUUCUUGUUUCGCUAUUAUUUAUUAAGAGAAUAUAGUAUGUUAAUAUAGUUGGUAUAUUAUAGAGGAUAAAAUUUAGAAUACGCUGCUGGAGAUGGUAAAGAUAUAGAAGACGAUUUUUUUAGAGUGAACUGUAAAAACAAAGAAUUUUCCUUUAAAAGAUGAAAUUUAGAGAACGUUGAUGGAGAUAGCCGAAAGCGUCAUUUACUCUAAAUAUAGAGGAUCCUCUAGACUCUCCAGCAGCAUUUAAACGGUCAUCUAAAUUUAUAGGUCGUUGCUACACUCUCUCUCUCUCUAUAUAUAUAUAGUUUCUCUAAACGAUCCUCUAUUUAUUUGAAUACUAUAAAUAACCGUUUUACCAAAACUAAAAUAUGUACAAUAUAUUUUAGAGCAUGACAAAUACGUAGGUAUAAAAAAUAAAAAUGUUUGUAAUAUAGGUAUUUAAGUAUAGAUGACGUGAUUUAGAAAACGUUGUUGGAGAUGAAAAAGAUAUAGAUGAUAAAAUCUUUUAGAGAAGACCGUAAAUAAUGGAUAUAAAGGAUAUUGCUGAAGACAACCUUUAUCUUAUCUUUAGCAGGUUGUAUAUACGACCCCGGAUGCAGAAAAUGAGUAAGAAAUCGAUAUUGUUCACGUGUCCAGCAGCUCGCGUACGCGGUCGCACAAAAACCACACCCCACAUCGACGUGCAUAUCUUCGAGCUCUCGCGGUCGCGCACAGUCCAAGCCACGUCCUCCAUUUUUGUGUCCAAGGCCUGCUGAACGGAUGCACAAUCAUUUUGCGCAAUCUGCUGGAAACGAACUCCUUUUUGCGCGACGUAGUGGACUCAUAAAUUGCUAGUAUCCGCAACCGCGCAACAGCACAACCAUUUUGCAUGUUGUCACAUAAUAACAGCUUACGGAGCAACACUGUGAUCCUCUGAGAAGGACAAAAUGAGGUUUUGCUGAUUGUUGUGCGCUACGGCCUUGUUGGAAAAUGUCCUGACGGGUGCUACAUAGGGGGUGUUUGGUUAGAGAUAGGGGGUGUUUGGUUAGAGGGACUAAAGAUUAGUCUCUAGUUUUUAGUCCCAUUUAGUCCCUUUUUUUCCAAACACUAGGACUAAAAUAUGGACUAAAAUGAUUUAGUCUUUAGUCCUUCACAUAGGUGCUAAAAGAGACUAAAAGCCCAUAAUUAUCAUGUUGCCCUUACCUUUUUUAUAGAUAACUAAUAUUGUGAGUAUAUUCUAAGGGUAUUUGAGUCUUUGGACAAUGUAUUUAAUGACUUUAGAAUCUAUUUAGUCCCUAGAACCAAACAUGUAGGGACUAAAGUUUAGUCCUAGGACUAAAGUUUAGUCCUAGGACUAAUUGAAACCAAACAUGGCCAUAGUCUGACCAUUUUUAUGAAGCACGCAACAUAUGUCCUUUAAUAAAACUAGAUCACAUAUUUUUACAUUUGAUACUGAAGCUCUAGUCUGGAGAGUAAAAUAAGUAGAGAAAGACAGAUUUGAUAAUUGGUCAAACCAGAGUAACCUGCUCCAUUUAAACUAAAAACGGAACCGCAACAAUGAAAUAUGCAUUACUGCAACUACAUUACAAUAAAGCAACUUACCUUAGAUUGCAUGAAGGAUCAAACUGUUUGUUCCUAACCAUCCACCAACCACCACGAAGAGAAAUACCAGGUCUUCAUGGUGCUGCUGCUCAAGCGUCCGAGGUCAGAGCAGGGUAUAUGGCACCCAUGGCCUGGUAUAUAUAUAUCCAUAAGAAAUGUAGUGCAGUCGAAGCAUGGGCUGAUGGG
rnacentral:lncRNA from 1 species